rnacentral:rRNA from 1 species
GACGAACGCUGGCGGCGUGCCUAAUACAUGCAAGUUGAGCGCUGAAGGUUGGUACUUGUACCGACUGGAUGAGCAGCGAACGGGUGAGUAACGCGUGGGGAAUCUGCCUUUGAGCGGGGGACAACAUUUGGAAACGAAUGCUAAUACCGCAUAAAAACUUUAAACACAAGUUUUAAGUUUGAAAGAUGCAAUUGCAUCACUCAAAGAUGAUCCCGCGUUGUAUUAGCUAGUUGGUGAGGUAAAGGCUCACCAAGGCGAUGAUACAUAGCCGACCUGAGAGGGUGAUCGGCCACAUUGGGACUGAGACACGGCCCAAACUCCUACGGGAGGCAGCAGUAGGGAAUCUUCGGCAAUGGACGAAAGUCUGACCGAGCAACGCCGCGUGAGUGAAGAAGGUUUUCGGAUCGUAAAACUCUGUUGGUGGAGAAGAACGUUGGUGAGAGUGGAAAGCUCAUCAAGUGACGGUAACUACACAGAAAGGGACGGCUAACUACGUG